UGCGGUUCUUGAGUGUGGUCAAGGCAGGCGGAAUGUGUAAUGUAGCGGUGAAAUGCUUAGAGAUUACACAGAACACCGAUUGCGAAGGCAGCUUGCUGGGCCAUUACUGACGCUCAUGCACGAAAGCGUGAGGAUCAAACAGGAUUAGAUACCCUGGUAGUCCACGCUGUAAACGAUGAUCACUAGCUGUUGGCGAUAUACAGUCAGUGGCAAAGCGAAAGCAUUAAGUGAUCCACCUGGGGAGUACGGCCGCAAGGUUGAAACUCAAAGGAAUUGACGGGGGCCCGCACAAGCGGAGGAACAUGUGGUUUAAUUCGAUGAUACGCGAGGAACCUUACCUGGGCUUAAAUGCAGAGUGCAUUGGUGUGAAAGCAUCAUUUUCUUCGGAACUUUCUGCAAGGUGCUGCAUGGUUGUCGUCAGCUCGUGCCGUGAGGUGUCGGGUUAAGUCCCAUAACGAGCGCAACCCUUAUCGUUAGUUGCCAGCGGGUAAAGCCGGGGACUCUAACGAAACUGCCGGUGUAAACCGAGAGGAAGGUGGGGAUGACGUCAAAUCAGCACGGCCCUUAUGUCCAGGGCUACACACGUGUUACAAUGGCCGGUACAGAGGGCAGCUACCUGGAGACAGGAUGCGAAUCUCGAAAGCCGGUCUCAGUUCGGAUCGGAGUCUGCAACCCGACUCCGUGAAGCUGGAUUCGCUAGUAAUCGCGCAUCAGCCAUGGCGCGGUGAAUACGUUCCCGGGCCUUGUACACACCGCCCGU
rnacentral:rRNA from 1 species